rnacentral:rRNA from 1 species
GACAGAGGUGGCAAGCGUUGUCCGGAAUUACUGGGCGUAAAGAGCGCGUAGGUGGCUAGAUAAGUCCGGUGUGAAAUCCUUCGGCUUAACCGGGGAAUGGCAUCGGGGACUGUAUAGCUAGAGGACGGGAGAGGAGAGCGGAAUUCCCGGUGUAGCGGUGAAAUGCGUAGAGAUCGGGAGGAAGGCCGGUGGCGAAGGCGGCUCUCUGGAACGUCCCUGACGCUGAGGCGCGAAAGCGUGGGGAGCAAACAGG